rnacentral:rRNA from 1 species
UACGAAGGGUGCAAGCGUUACUCGGAAUUACUGGGCGUAAAGCGUGCGUAGGUGGUUUGUUAAGUCUGUUGUGAAAGCCCCGGGCUCAACCUGGGAAUGGCAAUGGAUACUGGCAGGCUAGAGUGCGGUAGAGGGUAGUGGAAUUCCCGGUAUAGCGGUGAAAUGCGUAGAGAUCGGGAGGAACACCAGUGGCGAAGGCGGCUACCUGGACCAGCACUGACACUGAGGCACGAAAGCGUGGGGAGCAAACAGGG